UACGUAGGGACCGAGCGUUGUCCGGAAUCAUUGGGCGUAAAGAGCGUGUAGGCGGCUUGUUAAGUCUUGCGUGAAAUCUCGGGGCUCAACCCCGAGCGGUCGUGGGAAACUGGCAGGCUAGAGUGCGGGAGAGGAGAGUGGAAUUCCUGGUGUAGCGGUGAAAUGCGCAGAUAUCAGGAAGAACACCCGUGGCGAAGGCGGCUCUCUGGAACGCAACUGACGCUGAGACGCGAAAGCGUGGGGAGCAAACAGG
rnacentral:rRNA from 1 species